CAAAAUAAGUACAGAAGUGGACACUGUCGAAAUAAAACCGUAAAAAUCAAAAAGUCCAAAUAAAACAGUAAAACCAAAGCAAAAAAAGUCUAUUGAGUUAAUUGGUUCGUCAAUCAAAAGUAAGUCACGUGACAAUUCAGACUCGAGUGAUUGGCUCAGUUCUGGAACCAUGUGACCACGGAGUGUGCUUCCACAGACAGCAUGCUCAACUACAUUUAAAACAUGCAAAUGUUUUCUGAGAUGUAAGAACUGCUCGGGUUCUUUAAAGAUGUUUUGCUUCAUAACUUCUAAGAAGAUGUGUGUGAGUGUUACCCGUGGCUUUUUCUCCAAACUUGCAUUUGAAACUCAAUCUAAACGUCUUGCUGCUGUCCAACAGAUGAUCAUAAAUCCUGCUUUGACCUUCUGGAAAUCUUACAAACAAGGUGCCGGUGAAUACUCACUGGACAGCAGUGGAGCGUCCGGCCGCUGUGCACGUGGACAUCCAUGCUUCCAGCAUCCAGGGCCGGGUAGUAAAGGUCAGGGGUCGUUUGAAACGGAGGAUUUGCUGGAGCUCAGGUGUACUGUAUGUGCAGCAGUUUUCAAUCUCACGAAGAUUAAAGCUGUGACUCGUUUGUCAUUUCAGACAUGAAGCUGCAUCUCCUGAUGAAACUGUUCUCUUUUAUUCUGUCUGAUUGUGCAUCAAAGAUAAUAGUCUUUGAGAACCUGCUGGUGUUUAUAACGGCUGUAGUUUUAGUUCACAUGAAUUCAGAUCUACCUGCUGCUAGUUUUAUUCUGAGUGAUCAAAUAAAAACCUUUUUUUCCCCUCA
ensembl:lncRNA